UACGGGGGGGGCAAGCGUUGUUCGGAAUUACUGGGCGUAAAGGGCUUGUAGGUGGCCAACUAAGUCAGACGUGAAAUCCCUCGGCUUAACCGGGGAACUGCGUCUGAUACUGGAUGGCUAGAGUGUGGGAGAGGGAUGCGGAAUUCCAGGUGUAGCGGUGAAAUGCGUAGAUAUCUGGAGGAACACCGGUGGCGAAGGCGGCAAUCCUGGACCACGACUGACACUGAAAAGCGAAA
rnacentral:rRNA from 1 species